rnacentral:rRNA from 1 species
UGGGGAAUAUUGGACAAUGGGCGCAAGCCUGAUCCAGCCAUGCCGCGUGAGUGAUGAAGGCCCUAGGGUUGUAAAGCUCUUUCACCGGUGAAGAUAAUGACGGUAACCGGAGAAGAAGCCCCGGCUAACUUCGCGCCAGCAGCCGCGGUAAUACGAAGGGGGCUAGCGUUGUUCGGAUUUACUGGGCGUAAAGCGCACGUAGGCGGACUAUUAAGUCAGGGGUGAAAUCCCGGGGCUCAACCCCGGAACUGCCUUUGAUACUGGUAGUCUUGAGUUCGAGAGAGGUGAGUGGAAUUCCGAGUGUAGAGGUGAAAUUCGUAGAUAUUCGGAGGAACACCAGUGGCGAAGGCGGCUCACUGGCUCGAUACUGACGCUGAGGUGCGAAAGCGUGGGGAGCAAACAGG